GGGGGCGGGGGCUGGAAAGCCAGAGGGAAAAUGUGGGAUAAAAGCCUGCUAGGAGGGUAGCAGUCACAGCCUCUGAGCGAGCGUUGCCAGAUACCCAGGCUGUGGGGAGAAGGGUACUUCGUCCACAUGACCCCAGAAGAGCAGCUGGGGCUCCAGCCAACACCACCACUGCUCCCCAGGCAUCCCUCCCGGCCAGCGGCCGCUAGGGCGGCAGGGACGCUCUGAAAAUCUCUCCUUCAGGGCGACUGCCAAAAAAGAAGGGUAAGGUGGGUGAGAGGUGGAGGGAAUGUGGAGAGAGCCUAGGCGGACGACCACCUCGCACAUUCUAAAAUGCAACCAGGGGGAGCCUGGGUGGCUCAGCUGGUUAAGCAUCUGACUUUGGCUCAGGUCAUGGUCUCACGGUCCAUGAGUUUGAGCCCCACGUUGGGAUCUGUGCUAACAGUUAGCUCAGAGCCUGGAGCGUCCUUCAGACUCUGUGUCUCCCUCUCUCUCUCUCUGCCCCUCUCUCGCUCUCAAAAAUGUUAAAUUUUUAGAAAGUCAAAAACAAAAUGCAAUCAGGAAGCCUACUGCUGCGGCCUAGAGCCAAAAUGGUGGAUUACAAAGGCAACCCCCUCCGAAAGGGUCCUCAAGGCGGGCUCCCCGUGUCCUACCAGGGACCUAGAAGUAACCAAAAAGAAAAGCCUCUCCCCCCAGGAGCCCCCAGGUGCCAGCUGAAGCCAGUAAUGACACCAGAAAGGGCUGAGGGUGAGCUGUCUUAAGGCAAACCGGGUGGUUUGGGGGUUCUCCACGGCUCUCCCUUAAAAGCUAUCAGACUGACCUUCUACCCCCAGCCCCGCAGGGGAUUUGAAAACGUGUUCAAGUGGUUUGGGAGCACCAACUGGCAUUCAAUAGGCAAGACCCUGUAAUGUUAAAUGUCCUGCAAAGUGAGGGAAAGUCCUGGGCAGAAAAAAAAAAAUCAUCCCCUUCAAAAUGCCACAAGCGCGCUCGCUCUCUCUCUCUCUCUCUCUCUCUCUCUCUCUCUCUCUCUCUCUCUGAAAAACACUGAUAAGACCUCGUCUUUGCCGGAGCUCCGCCAGGUCCUCAAACGUGAGGAUUCCUGGAAUCCUAGGCCUCCACAGAACCCCGUUAGGGAAACCCUACCCCCAAGGGUGAACAUUGUCAGUUCCAGAGAUGGUUUGGUGAGGUCCUUGUAAAUGCAAAGCAGGCCCUAACAUCGCAUGCUGUAGUUGGUUUUGAGAAGGUUGUCUGUGAUCUAGAAUAGGUGUUCGCUAAUCUUGAGAAUGAAAUCACAGUGCUUGUGAUGUUACAAAGAACACUUGACUGCUCAGGGGUGUGCAUGCGUACCUUCUCGGUGUAACCCAAGGAUACAAUUUGAUCUCUGCGGAUAAAGGCAUCCUGGAUUCCACCCCCCAGUACAGCUGCAGAUCGGCAGCAUAGGGGGACUCAAGGGCACCUUCCCUGAAAACCCCCAGGUGGGGCCAGCAAACUGAAAAGGUCCUCCAGGUGACUCUGAUGUUCAUUAGACGUGGGAACCACUAGGCUAUAGAAGCAUUCAUUUGAAACUUAAGUGUCUUAUUUCGGCAACAAAUGUUCCCAAUUGUGCCCCCACCCCCUCCACCUAGGUUGCAGGCAAUGACCAUGCAGAGAGGAGUAAGCUCUAAGGCAGAGAAGGUGGAAGAAACCGGACUCCUCCCUUCCCCGGAUGCUCCCUCAGACCGCCUGGGCACGCAUCCCAAUCAGGAGAGCCUCAGGACCCCAGCAAGAUCCCCCUAGUCUACCCGCGAGGGAAGGGCAACGCUCUCAGCUCCUGGCCAGACCGCAAAGCUCAGACCAGGCUUCCAGUGAUGCGGGUGAUUUAGGGGCAAAGGGAGAGCAGUUGUUGGGGGCAGAAAGAGAACACUGAGCACCUAGGCCAGCCGGUCUCAGAAGGACCAUCUCUUUUAAUCUUCACAACUACCCCUUCAGGCAGGCGGUAUCUUUUAAGUUUCUCUUUCUUUUAAGUUUAUUUAUUUUGAGAGAGCAUGCAAGAGCAGGGGAGGGACAGAGAAUUCCCAGCAGGCUCUGCACUGUCAGGGUGGAGCCCAACGCGGGGCUCCAACUCCUGAACCGUGAGAUCAUGACCUGAGCUGAAAUCAAGAGCUGGACGCUUAGCCAACUGGGUCACCCGGGUGCCCCCGGCAAGUAGUACUAACAGAUCUAGAAACAGCCCUUAGAGAAGUCGAAUGACUUGCUCAAGGUCCUUCAGCUCCUUAAGAGAAACGAGCUUCAGAAGACACAGCCAUGUUGUGAAUUCUAUUGGGCCAUUGUCAGCAUUGUCUACAAGAACUUCCCCUGAUGAUGAAAAUGUCCUUGAUCAGUAGCUGCUAGCCUCUAGCCACUUGAAGCUACUGAGCACCUGAAAUGUGGAUGGUACAAUGAGGCAGUCAAUCUCUUGUUUGACUGAAAUUUAAGUGGCCAAAUGUGGUUUGUGGCUAAUCUAUUGCCCAGUGGAGGAUCGUACAGUCCUGUAUAAAAAUGCCAUCAGAAUGGAAGUAUUCACCCAAGUAACCCAGAGGAAAAAACAAACACAGGAACAUUGGUAUAACUAACAAUUAAUCCUAUUGCUCAUUAAUCUUAAUGGAAAUGGUGAUUGUUUUUUUAAAAAACUUUUUUUAAUGUUUAUUUUUGAGAGAGCGUGAGUGGAGGAGCAGCAGAGGGAGAGGGAGACACGGAAUCCAAAGCAGGCUCCAGGCUCCAAGCUAUCAGCACAGAGCCCGAUGUGGGGCUCGAACUCAGAAACUGUGAGAUCAUGACCCGAGCCGAAGUCGGACGCUCAACCGACUGACCCACCCAGGCGCCCCUAGAAAUAGUGAUUCUUAACAGCGAGUUCAGGAAAUAAUAUUAAUCUAAACUCAAUUAUUCAUAUGAAGGUCUGUCUUCUCCAAAUGUUGGCAGUCAGCAGAAGUCCGGGAUGGCAGCGGGUGAGAUGCCCUGUGCUAAGAGCCUGAAUGAGGACCGUGAAGGCCUAUAGGGAACCCUUUCAACAGCUAACCUCUUCGCCACUUGACAGACUUUAGAGACCCCCGCCCUGGCUUGUUUCUUAGAAUCCUUCUUUUUCUAAAUAUUAAGAGGACAUGGUCAAAUGGUUACACUAUGCAGGUUGACUCAUAGCCAUGAAUGUAGAGAUCAUGGUGAUCUAGCCAUUAUUUGGUGCUGGGCAAAGCAGUCUUUUAAGUUGGAAAUUUAGAGAAGAAAGCCUCGGCCAAGAAAAGAUCAUAAGGCAUGUCACCUGGUUAACAUAGUUAACACCUGUCCCUUGACCAUUCAUUGCCUGCUUCUAUGAGAAUCCCAGCCCAAGGAGGCUAUUCAGUAGAUUCCAGAAAAGGCGAAGGACUCCAAAUUCAGGUACCAAUUGAACAAGAUCUUCGCCUACUCUUGUCAGCAAAUAGGACCCACUAUGCAAGUCGACUCCAAACCUCAUUUGUCUUUUGAAUUGCCUAAGAUUGAGCCCUUUUGAAUGUAAUAAGCAAAUCGACAACAGUGGAGGUAGAGAAAAGCCAAAUCGCUGUAAUCUGCAAAAUCGGGGCCUCAGGCAAAACUGUGAGCCAGCGGGAAGGUGGGGAAGCAGGUAAUGAAGCAACGAAGAGGGUUGAAAGAAACUCUGAAAGUUUUACUAUUAGGACCCAUAUGGUGUAGAGCAAUAUAAAUGGACCAAAGAAUUAAUAGCAGAGGGAGGAAGAAAAAUAAAAAGCUGAACAAAAGAAGAAUAAGGUCUUCUUUCCAGAACAACAUGGGUCACAAAGCCAGUCUAUGCUCUUCCUGGUGCCUUUGCACACACCGAGCUAUCCUUAAAAGACCAAACCUGUCCUAUACUUGAUCGACAUCUGUGCACCUUUCUGGGCACACAGUGGACCAUUAAAACAACCAGUCUGAAGUUUCUUUGUGCUGUAUGGUGACUUUUUUUCUAAGCUGGUGCAUCCUCCUCUCCUGUGCAUGUGAAUCCUCUCUGUGAUUUGUUAUCCUGUUUAGUUUGAGUUGGUAUUUCAGUAGGUCUGCAAUGAAGCCUGAGAUCUACAGUUCUAAAAAGUUCCCAGAGAGGCCAAUGUGCUGGUCCUUGGACUCCACUUUGAGUAACCAGCCUUUAUUUUCUCUGUGGGUCACGAGCUAACCAGCACAGUUGGUGGAAAAUCCCACCAGGAAAGUCAAGGACAUCCAUUGGAUCCCCAUCCAUGGGGGUGCUCUAUUCUGUGACUGCAAACUGAACCUACAGGUCCAGCUGGUCGUGUUGGGUCUGUGUUACACAGGACCAGAGGACAUAGAACGGGAAGGGACCCAAAUGCCCCUCCCCCUGUAGGCCAGCGUUUUGUACCUGGGCUGCUCCAGGCAACCAGCCACAUUCUUCCGUAACCGUGACUCUGCUUUUUCCCUCCCCAGUGUCUUGUAAGCCCCACUCUCUGGCUGUGCAGGUGCGAAGAUCUCGCAGGGAGGCCCGUCUUGCCUCCUUUCAGAACCCAGAAUAGAGGGAGGCUGGCAGGCACAGCAGGAGUUCUUGGCUACAUCUACUCGGGGACCUAAUCGGGGGCUGUGAGAAACAGUGAGGUAUCCGAGUAUGCUUGCAUGCCACCUCCGGAUUCUGACGGUCACCAACCUGCUACUCUUAAUAAGUAAGCCCAUAUAUACUUGGUGAAAAUUCAGGGCUCCAGCUAGCAAGCAGACAGGUGACAUGUGGGCCUCAAGAUACAAUGGGAUAUUAUUCAGCCAUAAAGAAACCGAGGAAAUCCUCCCAUUCACAACAACAUGCAUGGAUCUUGACGGCAUUUUGUUAAAUAAGUCAAAUACUGUGUGAUCUCUUAUAUGUGGAAUCACAAAAACGUCCUGGAAAAAGACAACGGAAUUGUGGCUAUGAGAGGUGGAGCAUGGGGAGGGGGACUUGGAGGAAUGUGGUCAAAAGGCCCAAACUUAGAAGUACUAGGGAUAUAACGUACUACAUGACUAUAGCUAACACUGUUGUAUAAUCUAUUGGAAAAUUAGAGUAAAUCCUAAGAGUUCUCAUCACAAGGAAAAUUUCCUUCCAUAUUUUCUAUUGUACCUAUAAAAUAUUAGCUGAAUCUACUAUGGUAAUUUCGCAAUAUAUGUAAGUCAAGCCAUCAUGGUGUAUGCCUUAAACUUAUGCCUGAUGUAUGUCAAUUCUCAAAACAGGAGGAAACUCUGUGAAGAAACCCAACGUUCAUGAACUGUUAAUGUAAUACAAUAUUUAGUGUAACAUAGUUAUGUCAUAGAAUUUUUCAAUGUGACAGGUGUAUAGUUUGUGAUGAUUCAGCUGAGUCACUUGACCACGUGUCUGUAUGUGUACUGAUUGUGAAAUCUUCAUUUAUACAUUAGGACUUCACUUGGCUGGAACCCACCAUUAGUAUUUUCACAUCUGAUACUAGGGUUAUUGUAUCAUUGACCUAUAACAAAGUAAUAAUGUC